AACGAACGCUGGCGGCAUGCCUAACACAUGCAAGUCGAACGAGACCUUCGGGUCUAGUGGCGCACGGGUGCGUAACGCGUGGGAGCCUGCCCUUAGGUUCGGAAUAACUCCCCGAAAGGGGUGCUAAUACCGGAUAAUGUCUUCGGACCAAAGAUUUAUCGCCUUUGGAUGGGCCCGCGUUGGAUUAGCUAGUUGGUAGGGUAAAAGCCUACCAAGGCGACGAUCCAUAGCUGGUCUGAGAGGAUGAUCAGCCACACUGGGACUGAGACACGGCCCAGACCCCUAGGGGGGGCAGGAGUGGGGAAUAUUGGACAAUGGGGGAAAGCCUGACCCAGAAAUGCCGGGCGAGUGAUGAAGGCCUUAGGGUUGAAAAGCUCUUUUACCCGGGAUGAAAAGGACAGUACCGGGAGAAUAAGCCCCGGCUAACCCCGU
rnacentral:rRNA from 1 species